AUGUAUCAGCAGAGAGGAGUCCAGCGACACCUCCGCCACCUCUCUCUCCACCCACCUCACUCCCAGAGACGAGGCUCCAGGAUCACAGACUUCCCAGCGUCGUGUCUCCUGAAGAGCCACACCACACCCCACUGCGGUCUGGUACAGUCUGUCCUCCGAAAAUUCCCCAUAAUCCUCCUGGAGCAGCAGUUUCUCUCUUCUCCCCUGAUCUGUGUGCAGAACGGUCCCUGUGCGUCUCCCAGGUGGGGUUACUGGUGCAGAACGAUCCCUGUGCGUCUCCGAGGUGGGGUUACUGGUGCAGAACGAUCCCUGUGUGUCUCCCAGGUGGGGUUACUGGUGCAGAAUGAUCCCUGUGUGUCUCCCAGGUGAGGUUACUGGUGCAGAAUGAUCCCUGUGCGUCUCCCAGCGACGGGGACCAGGGCUCGACUCCUGAUCCAAGACUCACCUCCCACAGCGAAUCCCAGAGUCCAGGCCAGGACUGGGAGCAGACCGGUCAGGGGUGAGUCCAGGAGAUCCACUUCAGACCUCUGCCGGCUCUCUUCCUGAAGAGCUCCUGAGCGUCUGGAGAAGCGACGGAGGCGCACACGUCCGGC
rnacentral:lncRNA from 1 species